rnacentral:tmRNA from 1 species
CCGAUUGCCCGGAAGGGGCUUCCGCCCUAUAAUGGCGGCGCCGGGCAUGCUCGGCUAUGGCGAUAAACGCUAUGCGAAAUAAGCGUUGCGGACCCGGGGGCAGUACCCGGCGCCUCCACCAUCCUGCGGGGGCGAACCAGGAUCGACGUGCGUGGUAAAGGCAUGGUUUUCGUUCGGCAUGGCACCACCGUUAUCGGGCCGCAACUCAAGUGCGAAUGACAAUGAGGUCGCACUCGCUGCCUGAUCGCUGAUCGGGUAAGCGCGGUUUGGAGGGCACCGGGCAACAGAAGCCCUCCA